GACGAAGGGGGGCUAGCGUUGUUCGGAAUUACUGGGCGUAAAGAGUGUGUAGGCGGUGCUCCCAGUCUGUUGUGAAAUCUCCCGGCUUAACUGGGAGGGUGCAGCGGAAACUAGAGUGCUAGAGGGUGGGAGAGGUAAGCGGAAUUCCUGGUGUAGCGGUGAAAUGCGUAGAUAUCAGGAGGAACACCUGUGGUGUAGACAGCUUACUGGACCACUUCUGACGCUGAGACACGAAAGCGUGGGUAGCAAACAGG
rnacentral:rRNA from 1 species